rnacentral:rRNA from 1 species
UGGGGAAUAUUGGACAAUGGGGGCAACCCUGAUCCAGCAAUGCCGCGUGUGUGAAGAAGGUCUUCGGAUUGUAAAGCACUUUCGACGGGGACGAUGAUGACGGUACCCGUAGAAGAAGCCCCGGCUAACUUCGUGCCAGCAGCCGCGGUAAUACGAAGGGGGCUAGCGUUGCUCGGAAUGACUGGGCGUAAAGGGCGUGUAGGCGGUUUACACAGUCAGAUGUGAAAUCCCCGGGCUUAACCUGGGAGCUGCAUUUGAUACGUGUAGACUAGAGUGUGAGAGAGGGUUGUGGAAUUCCCAGUGUAGAGGUGAAAUUCGUAGAUAUUGGGAAGAACACCGGUGGCGAAGGCGGCAACCUGGCUCAUGACUGACGCUGAGGCGCGAAAAGCGUGGGGAGCAAACAGGUUAGAUACCCUGGUAGUCCACGCCU